UACGAAGGGGGCGAGCGUUGUUCGGAUUUACUGGGCGUAAAGGGCGCGUAGGCGGCCUUGUCAGUCAGGCGUGAAAGCCCCGGGCUCAACCUGGGAACGGCGCUUGGGACGGCGAGGCUGGAGUUCGGGAGAGGAGAGUGGAAUUCCCAGUGUAGCGGUGAAAUGCGUAGAUAUCGGAAGGAACAUCAGUGGCGAAGGCGACUUUCUGGACAAAUACUGACACUGAGGCACGAAAGCAUGGGGAGCAAACAGG
rnacentral:rRNA from 1 species